AUGGUUCUCAUUUUCUGUGUCGUCUCUGAAGGGGAAAAGAAGACACCCAGAUGGGCAAAGGCACUUCCAUCUGCUCUGAGCUGUAUUUUAGGAGCCGCAAACUGGAUCUUUCGAGAGAAAAGGAACACAUUCAGUCAGUCUCUCCCGGAGUGUCUCGAGGACGGACCUGCUGUUUAUCAACAUGCCUCUGUGGAAGCUCCCAGAGAUCUCCUCAGGGUUUUACUGUGGUCUUGCCCUCCGAGGCUUAGGGCCUUUCUGGGGAUCCGGACAUUCUGUAGUGAAGAUGCUGGAUUGGCCAAAUCCUGUGAGGCGCCGUGGAAAAGUAAGAUCCUCCAUUUCCUGGACAAGGUGAGGUGCUGGGAAGCAGGCCACAGAACUUGCCUGAGUCUGCAGGGCCAACUUCUGAGGCAUUUGCUUUUACCUCACUCACUCUACAUCCUCCAUCUACUCAUGUGUCCACCGGUUCCUACCAAAAUCCCACUCUAUGGACAAAUUCCUUGUCUGCACCCCAUGUGGAUUCUUGCUGGCUUGGGUUAAUGUGUUAAUUCUUCCAUUUUCUAGCCAGGUGGCCUAGUGCACUUACCUAAGUGCAAAAACUGAUUGCCUACUCCCCAAAAGAAUAUCUAUUUUUUAACUUACAUGAUUGCUGUGAGAAUUCAUUAAGAUGAAAUGUGGAAAAUGUUGAAUUUGAAUUUGAAAAGGAAUGAGAGAUUACCUCCCCCUUUCUCUGUUCUUCUUAGCUUUCCCUCUGAAUUUAAAUGUGUUUUUAUUUUUUACGGAUUCUCAUUCUAUUCUUAUCGAUUGAAAUAAAAGCCUUUAACCUAUUUCCUGAAAUUGUGUAUGCAGAAUCUAUUGGAAAAUCUUAAAGAAGCAAGUUAUCUGCUGGAAGUGGUGGCUGCACCUGUAAUCCCAGCACUUUGAGAGGUGGAGAUGGGAAGCUCACAAGUUUGAACCCAGCCUGGGCCACUCAGCAACUUAGUUAGACAUGGUCUCAAAAAUUAAGGGUUGAGGAUGUAGCUCAGUGCAGAGGCCCUGAGUUCAACGCCUCCACAAAAAGCAAGUCAUCAUCCAUUGAAUUCCCAUAGAUCUGUCAACCUGGAAUGUGUAGCAUUCUG
rnacentral:lncRNA from 1 species